UUAAAGCGAUUUUUUAGCCUCCAAUCUAGGU
rnacentral:piRNA from 1 species